rnacentral:rRNA from 1 species
AGCAGUAGCCGCGGUAAAACGUAGGGUGCAAGCGUUAAUCGGAAUUACUGGGCGUAAAGCGUGCGCAGGCGGUUAUAUAAGACAGAUGUGAAAUCCCCGGGCUCAACCUGGGAACUGCAUUUGUGACUGUAUAGCUAGAGUACGGCAGAGGGGGAUGGAAUUCCGCGUGUAGCAGUGAAAUGCGUAGAUAUGCGGAGGAACACCGAUGGCGAAGGCAAUCCCCUGGGCCUGUACUGACGCUCAUGCACGAAAGCGUGGGGAGCAAACAGGAUUAGAUACCCCAGUAGUCCCUGUCUCUUAUAC